rnacentral:rRNA from 1 species
AGUGAACGCUGGCGGUAGGCCUAACACAUGCAAGUCGAACGGCAGCACAGUAAGAGCUUGCUCUUACGGGUGGCGAGUGGCGGACGGGUGGGGAAUACAUCGGAAUCUACUUUUUCGUGGGGGAUAACGUAGGGAAACUUACGCUAAUACCGCAUACGACCUACGGGUGAAAGCAGGGGAUCUUCGGACCUUGCGCGAUUGAAUGAGCCGAUGUCGGAUUAGCUAGUUGGCGGGGUAAAGGCCCACCAAGGCGACGAUCCGUAGCUGGUCUGAGAGGAUGAUCGGCCACACUGGAACUGAGACACGGUCCAGACUCCUACGGGAGGCAGCAGUGGGGAAUAUUGGACAAUGGGCGCAAGUCUGAUCCAGCCAUACCGCGUGGGUGAAGAAGGCCUUCGGGUUGUAAAGCCCUUUUGUUGGGAAAGAAAAGCAGCAGGUUAAUACCCCGCUGUUCUGACGGUACCCAAAGAAUAAGCACCGGCUAACUUCGUG